rnacentral:rRNA from 1 species
AGAUUGAACGCUGGCGGCAUGCCUUACACAUGCAAGUCGAACGGCAGCACGGGAGCAAUCCUGGUGGCGAGUGGCGAACGGGUGAGUAAUAUAUCGGAACGUGCCCAGUCGUGGGGGAUAACGCAGCGAAAGCUGUGCUAAUACCGCAUACGAUCUAUGGAUGAAAGCGGGGGAUCGGCAAGACCUCGCGCGAUUGGAGCGGCCGAUAUCAGAUUAGCUAGUUGGUGGGGUAAAAGCCUACCAAGGCGACGAUCUGUAGCUGGUCUGAGAGGACGACCAGCCACACUGGAACUGAGACACGGUCCAGACUCCUACGGGAGCAGCAGGUGGGGAAUUUUGGACAAGUGGGCGCAAGCC